rnacentral:rRNA from 1 species
UACGAAGGGGGCUAGCGUUGCUCGGAAUCACGUGGGACGUAAAGGGUGCGUAGGCGGGUCUUUAAGUCAGGGGUGAAAUCCUGGAGCUCAACUCCAAGAACUGCCUUUGAUACUGAAGAUCUUGAGUUCGGGAGAGGUGAGUGGAACUGCGAGUGUAGAGGUGAAAUUCGUAGAUAUUCGCAAGAACGACCAGUGGCGAAGGCGGCUCACUGGCCCGAGUACUGACGCUGAGGCACGAAAGCGUGGGGAGCAAAGCAGG